rnacentral:rRNA from 1 species
UACGUAGGGGGCAAGCGUUGUCCGGAAUUAUUGGGCGUAAAGCGCGCGCAGGCGGUCAUUUAAGUCUGAUGUAUAAACCCGAGGCUCAACCUCGGAUGGCAUUGGAAACUGGGCGACUGGAGUGUAGGAGAGGAAAGUGGAAUUCCACGUGUAGCGGUGAAAUGCGUAGAGAUGUGGAGGAACACCAGUGGCGAAGGCGGCCCGCUGGGCAGUGGCUGACGCUGAGGCGCGACAGCGUGGGGACGCAAAGAGG